rnacentral:sRNA from 20 species
GGGGGUGGGAACAUGGCAUGUGGUCCAAAUAUGAUUAUCGUUUUGAAUGAACUCGAUGAUCCGAAUGUAAGAAUAAUUGUAGAAUGCAGAAUUUAAAUUAAAUCAUUGUGGUUUGCUUCCUGUUCAUGUGAACAGGGAGUUUU